rnacentral:rRNA from 1 species
ACACUCCUACGGGAGGCAGCAGUGGGGAAUAUUGCACAAUGGGCGCAAGCCUGAUGCAGCCAUGCCGCGUGUAUGAAGAAGGCCUUCGGGUUGUAAAGUACUUUCAGCGGGGAGGAAGGCAAUACGGUUAAUAACCGUGUUGAUUGACGUUACCCGCAGAAGAAGCACCGGCUAACUCCGUGCCAGCAGCCGCGGUAAUACGGAGGGUGCAAGCGUUAAUCGGAAUUACUGGGCGUAAAGCGCACGCAGGCGGUCUGUCAAGUCGGAUGUGAAAUCCCCGGGCUCAACCUGGGAACUGCAUUCGAAACUGGCAGGCUUGAGUCUUGUAGAGGGGGGUAGAAUUCCAGGUGUAGCGGUGAAAUGCGUAGAGAUCUGGAGGAAUACCGGUGGCGAAGGCGGCCCCCUGGACAAAGACUGACGCUCAGGUGCGAAAGCGUGGGGAGCAAACAGGAUUAGAAACCCCGGUAGUCCC